UACGUAGGGUGCAAGCGUUAAUCGGAAUUACUGGGCGUAAAGCGUGCGCAGGCGGUUUUGUAAGUCUGACGUGAAAGCCCCGGGCUUAACCUGGGAAUUGCGUUGGAGACUGCAAGGCUUGAAUCUGGCAGAGGGGGGUAGAAUUCCACGUGUAGCAGUGAAAUGCGUAGAGAUGUGGAGGAACACCGAUGGCGAAGGCAGCCCCCCUGGGUCAAGAUUGACGCUCAUGCACGAAAGCGUGGGGAGCAAACAGG
rnacentral:rRNA from 1 species